AUGAGGCUAUCACAAGUUCGGACACUUGCCUUCUUUGGGAUCUUCAAGUGUGUCCCUUCCAUUGUGGAGUUUAAACUUCUUCAAGUUUUAAUCCUACACUUUUGGGGUGACGAGGACGGCAUCAGUUUAGAUAUAACUGGAAUUUGGGAGCUUUAUCGGUUGAGAUAUAUGCAAGUGACAUGUAACGUCAUAUUAGAAUUACGAACCCAGAUGAGGGAUCUAAGAUCUUUUCCGCGCUUGCUGCACCUCAAACUUCCUGCUGAGACAAGACUGCCUGAUGGGAUUGGCCACAUGACAUCGCUUCACACCCUCGGAUAUUUUGAUCUCAGCAGUAACUCAGCAGAGAAUGUCCAGAGCCUUGGCGAGUUGACAAAUCUCCAGGAUCUUCAGCUGGCCCGUUGUACUGUACAGACUGAUAAUCUGAAGAACAACAUGCAAUGCCUGGGGAUGAUUCUGGGAAAACUAAGCAAUCUUAAGUCUGUAACUCUGGUACCUGCAGGCUCCUCUCAUGUUGAUGGUAUGAGUAUGAGCGUUUCGGGUGAUGGUUUGAGUAGCAUAUCUUCUCCACCGGCCUUUCUUGAGAGGCUUGAGUUAUCGCCGCAUGUUUGCAUCUUCUCCAGCCUCCCGGAGUGGAUCGGACAUCUUGCCAGGCUCUCCAUUUUGAAGAUCGCAGUUUGUGAGCUAGUGAAGAAUGAUCUUGACAUUCUCAGAGGACUGCCUGGACUAACUGUUCUUUCACUGCAUGUCUGCACAAAGCUUACUGAAAGGAUUGUUUUCGAGAAGGCGGGAUUCUCAGUUCUCAAGUACCUCAAGUUCAAGAGUAGUGUACCUUGGCUUAAGUUUGAGGCAGAUGCCAUGCCUAAUCUUCGGAAGCUCAAGCUAGUUUUCAAUGACACUGGAGUGGAACUGGAAUCACAUAGUACUGCACCAGUGGGCAUCGAGCAAUUGUUAGGCCUUGAAGACAUCUCUGCAAAAAUUGGGGGUGGAGGUGCUGAUGCAAGGGCUGCCUUGAUGACCGCUGUUAGUAGUCAUCCACGCAAUCCUAGAAUCAACGUAAAAUUGGUGGACUGUAUGAUUUAUGCUGACGGAAGUAGCAGGAUUUCUGUGCCACCGGAGCCAUCUUCACGUUUGCCUGUCCCAGAUGCCACUACACGAAGUGAUGUGGAGCUCAAGCUACUCAAUGAAAUUGAAGAACCAAAGACCCUGCCAUUGCCACUUGAUCAACAGGUGAUACCGCCGCAUCCGCAGCCGCCGCGUUACCGUGGCGUGCGGAAGCGGCCGUGGGGGCGCUACGCCGCUGAGAUCCGGGACCCGGGCAAGAAGAGCCGGGUCUGGCUCGGCACCUAUGACUCCGCCGAAGAAGCGGCUCGCGCCUACGAUGUUGCUGCCAGAGAAUAUCGCGGGCCCAAAGCCAAAACUAACUUCCCCUUGACCGCAGCACCGUGGGCGACCUGUGUGAAGGCAAAGGUGGCCACCGCAAGCCACAUUAGCAGCAACGAACCCUCUGCCCUCACCACCGACUCCUCCUUCGCCGCAGCACCAUGGGUGUCCACAGCACCGCGGUUGAACUUGGCCGCGAGCCACAGCAGCAGCGACGAACCCUCUGCCCUCAACACCGACGACGACUCCUUCACUGCAGCACCAGGGGUGUCCACAACGCUGCGGUUGUCCUUGCCCCCAGCGUCUCCAAGCCACAGCAGCAUCGAAGAGUCCCGGUAUAUGUGA
rnacentral:rRNA from 1 species